ACUGGUUGGGUUCGGUACCUCUAAAAAGUUUAAGAACCACUGGAUUAGAGUAUGUAUGUUUUGGUUUCGAAUAGUUGGCCACUUAGGGUGAUCUAGGGUCAUCGAUCAGCCAUAAAAGGCCUUGUUUGGCGAUUACCGAUCACACCCUUUUCCACAAAAAUCGGCUGAUCACAAUUGAUUGCUGAUCUAUCAGAGCACCCCUAAAAAUAUCUCUUAAUUUUCCAGAUAUUGGGCAUAUAAUAGGUCCCAAGAUGUCCGGAAUGAGGAAAAUAGUUGUAAGGCGGAAUGGAUAUCCUUGGCCAACAACCGUGUAAGGAGGUGGCAAAUGUCACUGUUAGGCAGAAUCCUUAAAUCUCCACAACCAUGAUUUUGUAGGAAACAAUGUUUUUUUAAAAUUAUUAACCUUAUUAAAGAGAAAGCAUUGUUUCCCCAUUUUAGAAUGGUAAAUAGUUUGUGAAAAAUAACACACCCACGUUGUGGGCGGAACAACAGUAUCGAUUUGUGGAAACAACAUAUGAAAUUAACCAUAUUUGGACAUCGGAGGCGCCCACCUGGCAGCAACGAUUUGUAAAAUACCUAAUUUGGGAAUUUCUCUCUGAAGAGUGUGGAAAAUAGUUCGCAACAUGUCCAACAGGUCAAAAAAUGUUGGAAGGAGGUGAUAAAUACUGCAAGUUUGUGUCCUGAAUUCGAAGUUGAAAUGGAUCAAGUCAUGCGGAAGUAGGAGGUACAUUUGUGAAUUUCUUUCUAAUAUGAAGAUGGAAUUUUGGGAAUGUGUAAAUUAGUUUUCAUGACGUCCUGAAUGAGCUCAACAGGAAAUUGUGAAAUUCUGGCAAUUUGGGGAAUGUGGAAAGCAAUCCUGAACUGGUCUUUACUUUUGUGACUCUUUUGCAGUCCGAAUGGCUUGAGAAAUGUGGAAGGGAAAACCCAGUUUAAAACAACAACAACAACAACAAAUAAAAGCCCAUGAAUCACAAUAAUCAAUCAUGAAUGAUACAUGAAUGGUAUGUUGUCAUUUCAGGGUAGUGUGCCCUGUGGCCCCAGCAAGAGUUGUUCACGCAGGGAAAACGGGGGUGGAGGGGCUUGCAGUCGGCAUCGCGUUACUUUUCCAGAUGCCGGCCAAAGAAAGCAGGAAUUCCGCUCAGCAGAACCUGCCCGGGUGAGUCACGGGAAUGACGGGAAUUCUGAUUCUGCGUGUUAUUGAACUUACAUCCCACCCUUCCCCCUCCCUCCCCACUGCCACCCCAGAGACUUGAAUGAUGUCUUCGUGCCAUAAAGUGUGGUUGGAAAAGACCCGAGUCAGCUUUUGGUGACGUUCAUGGCAAUGAGAUGCUGCUGAGUGAACAGGCAUCUACGCAAGCACACAUGAGGCAACCUACAAGAUACUAACCGAGAGCCAAACUAUGAAUCUGAAAAUGAUGACAGUGCCUCAGUUGCGGAUAAGAAUCAUUAUAUCUCAUCAAAAUCUGAAUCAUUGGAGGAAAACCACAAUCUCUCUGAACGCAAUAGAGAAGAGGAAUACGAAUGAAGUCGAGCGCCGUUGGGGCGCAGCGCCGCCGAAGGAAGCGUCUCACGUCCUCGUACCAAAUAAAUUCCGGCCGUCCUCUCAGUCCCCACCCCUUCCUGCUGUCCUCCCGUUCCAAUUUGUAUCAAGGUGAGCACUUCAUUUCAACACCUACUCACUCAAUUGUGAAUGUUGAAGAACAUGCACACGCGCGACUGUGUGAAACUGCAUCAAAAUUGCGUGCAGGUUAUCGUACUGAUUCCUUCAAAUUAUGUGUGCCACAUACACCUCUCACCUCAAAAGUGAGCAUUAUUUUUUGUAUUUUUUGAAUACAGGAGCGCCCAUUGUUGCGUCUGCUGCAUGAAUAAUGUGCUAAUUAGCUGCCGAGCCGCUGGGGAUGCACCCUGGCCUUGAGCCAGGCAGGCUACAGUUGAUAUGGUUCCAACCCAUCCGCUGUUUCUGACCUCGCUGUUCAUCAAGUAACUUCUAACAAA